CUCUUGCGGUGGUCUGCUCUGCUGGUGUUUUGUGAGUGUGCCCAGGAUAGGGUGCCUUGCCAUGAGGAUCCUUAGUGAUGGACAAUGGAGCCAUUCCGCUCAGUGGAACAAGCCCCCACCUCGUCACAAAGACCAUUUAAAUUCUCAACAUGAGGCUACAGGCUGAUACAGAAGAUGAGAGAGAAGGGACACUUAAUCACAGAGUGCACCAAGGCUGAAGAUACAAAAGGAUGGACUUAAGUCCUCGCAUUCAUUGCAAGUCUGCUUCUCUAAGCUUUGUAAUAAUUUGUUAUUUUUGUGAAGGUAACCAAGAUAACUGGAAAAUAACCUCAGUUUUUACAAUCUGAGGAAUUUAACAGGACUACUUAUCAACGGAACAUCUCACUGUACUUUCUAGGAUUGAAAACAAAUCCAAGAUGCUUUGUGUAUCAUUUUAGAUAUGAAUAUAUUUGGUGAUGCUACAUUGGUGAAUUAUUUUAAGUAGCUGUGAACAAAUAAAUAGAAGAAUUCAAGGUUUAGGUUUUCUUUAGAGGUUUUUUAGCUUUUAUAUUCUCUGGUGGAACAAAGCUUAGGCCGCUGAGUUCAUGGUGGCUCUGCAGACCUCUCAGAUCAGCCAUUGCAAGUUAUCACCUACAGACACAACAAUAAAAAGAGCAUAUUUUUGAAAGAGUUAUAAGACAGCAACUUUACUUGACUGCUUUCCCAGUGGAAAAAAGAAGUGGUUUGGAUAAAGCUUUUUCAAAUGUAUGUAAAUUAGUUUUAUACAAACAUAAACUUUACUGUGAAGUAAAUGCUAGUUACUAACAAAUAAAUAAAUCUAGACUGAAAAAAAAAGAGUAGCAGUUAUGUUUUAGGAGACAUUAAAUUAAAAGCCUGCACUUUUGUAAAUCACACAAUUUGACAGCUCAUUUUGUAUUUCAGAAGUAAUUCAUGAAAAGAUUUCCUUUUUUAGCAUCACAAAAAUAUGUUUUAGAAACCUUCAAGUAAGAGUUUAAAUGCAAAAUAAAGGUAUGGAGAACAAAUAGAAUUAGAUUUAUCUAGCCUUAAAGAGUCAUUUUGUCAUCAAAAAAUGAUCAUAUGGACGUUUAAUUCCUGCACAUGCUUGUCCCUGUUUUGGAGAUACAAGUUUCAGAAUUAUUUCUAGAUAGCAAUCUACUCAUUU